rnacentral:lncRNA from 10 species
GUCGGGAGUUCCAGACUAGCCUGGCCAACAUGGUGAAACCCCAUCUCUAAUAAAAAUACAAAAAUUAGCUGGGCGUGGUGGUGUGCGUCUGUAAUUCCAGCUACUAGGGAGGCUGAGGCAUGAGAAUUGCUGGAACCCAGGAGGUGGAGGUUGCAGUAAGCUGAGAUUGCACCAUUGCAUUCCAGCCUAGGUGAUGGAGUGAGACUCUGUCUCAAAACUAAAAAAAAAAAAAACUGUUGGC